rnacentral:lncRNA from 1 species
AAGUGAAGUCGUCGGAAAUAAAAAUCAGAGAUAUGGCUUAUCAUGCUAAAGAUGUCAUUGAAGUCUUCCAAAUAGGCUUACAGAAAAGAUCUGACUCUAGGAUGGAAGAGGAUUUAAUAACAAAAAUGGAUACUACUGUUAAGAACUUGCACGAAGUAAUAACAGAAAUGGAAACUAUCAUGGAAGAGAUGAAGAAGAUUAAAGGCAGGAGUGGCAAACAAAAUCUUCGGGUACAUUCACCAAGAUCAGCUCCUGGUGACCAGACUAAAAUGGUGGGAUUUGCUGAAGACUUGAUGCAGAUAAAGGAUCGACUCUGUAAUGAACAACAAUCGACUCGCCAAACCAUUCCAAU